AAAACUAAGGGUGAUCUCAGGUGCUCCGGAAGGGUAAGCAGAUCCUGCUCCACAUGUGGCACCCGUCGUGUUGCUUAUGUGAUAACAAAUCCGGUAAAUAGUCUAAUUCGGUAGGUCACAUUCAUGAAAGGGAAGGGGAUUGUAGUUACGACGUAAGGAACAUAUCCGAUAUCAUUUGUGAAACGGUUAUUCCAUAACGGUCAACCAACUCGUGAUGGCGUCCGUAAAAUUUAC
rnacentral:lncRNA from 1 species